AGGGUGCGAGCGUUGUCCGGAUUUAUUGGGCGUAAAGGGCUCGUAGGUGGUUGAUCGCGUCGGAAGUGUAAUCUUGGGGCUUAACCCUGAGCGUGCUUUCGAUACGGGUUGACUUGAGGAAGGUAGGGGAGAAUGGAAUUCCUGGUGGAGCGGUGGAAUGCGCAGAUAUCAGGAGGAACACCAGUGGCGAAGGCGAUUCUCUGGGCCUUUCCUGACGCUGAGGAGCGAAAGCGUGGGGAG
rnacentral:rRNA from 1 species